UGGGGAAUAUUGGACAAUGGGGGCAACCCUGAUCCAGCCAUGCCGCGUGUGUGAAGAAGGCCUUCGGGUUGUAAAGCACUUUAAGCGAGGAGGAAGGUUUUUAGUUUAAUACACUAAAGAAUUGACGUUACUCGCAGAAUAAGCACCGGCUAACUCUGUG
rnacentral:rRNA from 1 species